GCUGGGUGUGGUGGCGCAUGCCUGUAAUCCCAGCUACUCGGGAGGCUGAGGCAGGAAGAUUGCUUGAGCCCAGGAGUUCAAGGCUACAGUGAGCUAUGAUAGUGCCCCUGCACUCCAGCCUGGGUGGCAAAGCAAGACCCUGUCUCAA
rfam:Pan troglodytes isolate Yerkes chimp pedigree #C0471 (Clint) chromosome 22, whole genome shotgun sequence.